rnacentral:rRNA from 1 species
UACGUAGGGUGCAAGCGUUGUCCGGAUUUAUUGGGUUUAAAGGGCGCGUAGGCGGCCUUGUAAGUCAGUGGUGAAAUACUCCAGCUUAACUGGAGGGGUUCCAUUGAUACUGCAGGACUUGAGUUAAGUUGAAGUUGGCGGAAUUGACGGUGUAGCGGUGAAAUGCUUAGAUAUCGGGAAGAACACCGAUAGUGAAGACAGCUAACUAAACUGUUACUGACGCUGAGGCGCGAAAGUGUGGGGAUCAAACAGG